rnacentral:rRNA from 1 species
AUUGAACGCUGGCGGCAUGCCUUACACAUGCAAGUCGAACGGUAACAGGUCUUUCGGGAUGCUGACGAGUGGCGAACGGGUGAGUAAUACAUCGGAACGUGCCUAGUAGUGGGGGAUAACUACUCGAAAGAGUGGCUAAUACCGCAUGAGAUCUAUGGAUGAAAGCAGGGGACCUUCGGGCCUUGUGCUACUAGAGCGGCCGAUGGCAGAUUAGGUAGUUGGUGGGAUAAAAGCUUACCAAGCCUGCGAUCUGUAGCUGGUCUGAGAGGACGAUCAGCCACACUGGGACUGAGAGACGGCCCAGACUCCUACGGGAGGCAGCAGUGGGGAAUUUUGGACAAUGGGGGAAACCCUGAUUCAGCAAUGCCGCGUGCAGGAUGAAGGCCUUCGGGUUGUAAACUGCUUUUGUACGGAACGAAAAGUCUUGGGUUAAUACCCUGGGAUCAUGACGGUACCGUAAGAAUAAGCACCGGCUAACUACGUGCCAGCAGCCGCCGUAACAC